AGUCAGUGUCAGCAGUCUAUCAGUCACCAAGUCGGUAGUGGGUCAAUCAGUGUAUCAGCAGUAUGACAUUCAGUAAUGAUGCAAUUACUGACAUACGACUGAUACACUGAUUGACACUCGACUGAAAGUCUGACUGGAAUACUACUGGUACAUUAUCAACCCAUUUACGAACCCACUGCCGUAAUACUGACUGGCAUGCUGUUGACAAACUACCUGGUCCACUGCUUAUGUACUGGCUGAAAACUACCGACACCCUGACUGAAAUAUUGCCAACACACGGUCAGCAAGCUGUAUGUCACAUUGCCUCAUUACUGAAUGUCAUACUGCUGAUAUACUGACUGAUCCACUUCGAACAAACUGACUGACUGACAUACUACUGAUACACUGACGGGUAUACUGCAUACCAACUGGUCCCUCAACUACUGACACACUGACAUACUGCUAACACUGGCUGCCACAGAGCUGAGUCACUCACAUACAUACUGCCGACACACUGACUGACUCGCUGAAUAACAUUAUGCAAUUACACUGACUGACAUACUGCAMCAUACUGUUGACACACUGACUGACAUACAGCUGAUUCACCGCAU
rnacentral:sRNA from 1 species